AGUGAACGCUGGCGGUAGGCCUAACACAUGCAAGUCGAACGGCAGCACAGUAAGAGCUUGCUCUUACGGGUGGCGAGUGGCGGACGGGUGAGGAAUACAUCGGAAUCUACUUUUUCGUGGGGGAUAACGUAGGGAGACUUACGCUAAUACCGCAUACGACCUACGGGUGAAAGCAGGGGAUCUUCGGACCUUGCGCGAUUGAAUGAGCCGAUGUGGAUUAGCUAGUUGGCGGGGUAAAGGCCCACCAAGGCGACGAUCCGUAGCUGGUCUGAGAGGAUGAUCAGCCACACUGGAACUGAGACACGGUCCAGACUCCUACGGGAGGCAGCAGUGGGGAAUAUUGGACAAUGGGCGCAAGCCUGAUCCAGCCAUACCGCGUGGGUGAAGAAGGCCUUCGGGUUGUAAAGCCCUUUUGUUGGGAAAGAAAAGCAGCAGGUUAAUACCCCGCUGUUCUGACGGUACCCAAAGAAUAAGCACCGGCUAACUUCGUG
rnacentral:rRNA from 1 species